rnacentral:rRNA from 1 species
AAGGCCCCUUCGGCGGUACACCAGUGGGGAUUGGGUGAGUACACGUGGGUGAUCUGCCCUGCACUCUGGGAUAAGCCUGGGAAACUGGGUCUAAUACCGGAUAUGAGCUCCUGUCGCAUGGCGGGGGUUGGAAAGGUUUACUGGCUGCAGGAUGGGCCCGCGGCCUAUCAGCUUGUUGGUGGGGUAAUGGCCUACCAAGGCGACGACGGGUAGCCGGCCUGAGAGGGCGACCGGCCACACUGGGACUGAGACACGGCCCAGACUCCUACGGGAGGCAGCAGUGGGGAAUAUUGCACAAUGGGCGAAAGCCUGAUGCAGCGACGCCGCGUGAGGGAUGACGGCCUUCGGGUUGUAAACCUCUUUCAGCAGGGACGAAGCGAGAGUGACGGUACCUGCAGAAGAAGCACCGGCCAACUACGUGCCAGCAGCCGCGGUAAUACGUAGGGUGCGAGCGUUGUCCGGAAUUACUGGGCGUAAAGAGCUCGUAGGCGGUUUGUCGCGUCGUCCGUGAAAACUUGGGGCUCAACCCCAAGCUUGCGGGCGAUACGGGCAGACUUGAGUACUGCAGGGGAGACUGGAAUUCCUGGUGUAGCGGUGAAAUGCGCAGAUAUCAGGAGGAACACCGGUGGCGAAGGCGGGUCUCUGGGCAGUAACUGACGCUGAGGAGCGAAAGCGUGGGUAGCGAACAGGAUUAGAUACCCUGGUAGUCCACGCCGUAAACGGUGGGCGCUAGGUGUGGGUUUCCUUCCACGGGAUCCGUGCCGUAGCUAACGCAUUAAGCGCCCCGCCUGGGGAGUACGGCCGCAAGGCUAAAACUCAAAGGAAUUGACGGGGGCCCGCACAAGCGGCGGAGCAUGUGGAUUAAUUCGAUGCAACGCGAAGAACCUUACCUGGGUUUGACAUAUACCGGAAAGCCGUAGAGAUACGGCCCCCCUUGUGGUCGGUAUACAGGUGGUGCAUGGCUGUCGUCAGCUCGUGUCGUGAAAUGUUGGGUUAAGUCCCCGCAACGAGCGCAACCCUUGUCCUGGGUUGCCAGCCCGUAAUGGCGGGGACUCGCAGGAAACUGCCGGGGUCAAUUCGGAGGAAGGUGGGGACGACGUCCAGUCAUCUUGCCCCUUAUGUCCAGGGUUUCCACAUUGCUAAAAUGGCCG